rnacentral:rRNA from 1 species
UGAGUAACGCGUAGGAACCUGUCGCAUAGUGGGGGAUAACGCUGGGAAACCGGCGCUAAUACCGCAUGAGGUCAGAGAUGAAGAAAGCGAGCAAUCGCGCUAUGUGAGGGGCCUGCGUCCGAUUAGCUAGUUGGUGGGGUAAAGGCCUACCAAGGCGACGAUCGGUAGCUGGUCUGAGAGGAUGGUCAGCCACACUGGGACUGAGACACGGCCCAG